UAGGGAAUCUUCGGCAAUGGGGGGAACCCUGACCGAGCAACGCCGCGUGAGUGAAGAAGGUUUUCGGAUCGUAAAGCUCUGUUGUUAAGGAAGAACGAGUGUGAGAAUGGAAAGUUCAUGCUGUGACGGUACUUAACCAGAAAGGGACGGCUAACUACGUGCCAGCAGCCGCGGUAAUACGUAGGUCCCGAGCGUUGUCCGGAUUUAUUGGGCGUAAAGCGCGCGCAGGUGGUUUAGAAAGUCUGAUGUGAAAGCCCACGGCUCAACCGUGGAGGGUCAUUGGAAACUAAUAAACUUGAGUGCAGGAGAGAAAAGUGGAAUUCCUAGUGUAGCGGUGAAAUGCGUAGAGUUUAGGAGGAACACCGGUGGCGAAAGCGGCUUUUUGGCCUGCAACUGACACUGAGGCGCGAAAGCGUGGGGAGCAAACAGG
rnacentral:rRNA from 1 species